ACGCCGUGGUGUGGGCAUUUGUUUGUAUAGCUCCGGAACCGUUCCCAAGCGUCACUAAAGCUCUCAUUGUUGUGCUGCGUGAAACUUGAAAUCUCAUUCCUUAGCUU
rnacentral:snoRNA from 1 species